rnacentral:rRNA from 1 species
AUUGAACGCUGGCGGCAUGCCUUACACAUGCAAGUCGAACGGCAGCGCGGGGCAACCUGGCGGCGAGUGGCGAACGGGUGAGUAAUAUAUCGGAACAUGCCCAGAAGUGGGGAUAACGUAGCGAAAGUUACGCUAAUACCGCAUACGAUCUACGGAUGAAAGUGGGGGACCGCAAGGCCUCAUGCUUUUGGAGUGGCCGAUAUCUGAUUAGCUAGUUGGUGGGUAAAGGCCUACCAAGGCGACGAUCAGUAGCUGGUCUGAGAGGACGACCAGCCACACUGGAACUGAGACACGGUCCAGACUCCUACGGGAGGCAGCAGUGGGGAAUUUUGGACAAUGGGGGGCAACCCUGAUCCAGCAAUGCCGCGUGUGUGAAGAAGGCCUCGGUGUAAGCACUUGUCGGACGAAACGGGUAGGUUU